UUUGAUCGUACAUGUUACAAAUGUGGUGAACCUGGCAUAUGAGAAGAGAUUGUCUCCACCCAUGGGUGUUAGAUUCUGCAAAGCAACAGUCUAGAGUAGUGGUACCCGUGGGGAAUGAUAAUAAUGGUAGAGGACGUCCACAAUGUGGGCGAUGAGGUAAUCAGCAAUGCCGUGGAUGUAGAGGAAAUGGUAAUGCAGGCAGG
rnacentral:lncRNA from 1 species